rnacentral:rRNA from 1 species
UUGUUACUGCGAAGGGGGGACGGAGAAGGCUAUGUUGGCCGGGCGACGGUUGUCCCGGUUUAAGCGUGUAGGCUGGUUUUCCAGGCAAAUCCGGAAAAUCAAGGCUGAGGCGUGAUGACGAGGCACUACGGUGCUGAAGCAACAAAUGCCCUGCUUCCAGGAAAAGCCUCUAAGCAUCAGGUAACAUCAAAUCGUACCCCAAACCGACACAGGUGGUCAGGUAGAGAAUACCAAGGCGCUUGAGAGAACUCGGGUGAAGGAACUAGACAAAAUGGUGCCGUAACUUCGGGAGAAGGCACGCUGAUAUGUAGGUGAAGCGACUUGCUCGUGGAGCUGAAAUCAGUCGAAGAUACCAGCUGGCUGCAACUGUUUAUUAAAAACACAGCACUGUGCAAACACGAAAGUGGACGUAUACGGUGUGACGCCUGCCCGGUGCCGGAAGGUUAAUUGAUGGGGUCAGCGCAAGCGAAGCUCUUGAUCGAAGCCCCGGUAAACGGCGGCCGUAACUAUAACGGUCCUAAGGUAGCGAAAUUCCUUGUCGGGUAAGUUCCGACCUGCACGAAUGGCGUAAUGAUGGCCAGGCUGUCUCCACCCGAGACUCAGUGAAAUUGAACUCGCUGUGAAGAUGCAGUGUACCCGCGGCAAGAUGGAAAGACCCCGUGAACCUUUACUAUAGCUUGACACUGAACAUUGAGCCUUGAUGUGUAGGAUAGGUGGGAGGCUUUGAAGUGUGGACGCCAGUCUGCAUGGAGCCGACCUUGAAAUACCACCCUUUAAUGUUUGAUGUUCUAACGUGGACCCGUGAUCCGGGUUGCGGACAGUGUCUGGUGGGUAGUUUGACUGGGGCGGUCUCCUCCUAAAGAGUAACGGAGGAGCACGAAGGUUGGCUAAUCCUGGUCGGACAUCAGGAGGUUAGUGCAAUGGCAUAAGCCAGCUUGACUGCGAGCGUGACGGCGCGAGCAGGUGCGAAAGCAGGUCAUAGUGAUCCGGUGGUUCUGAAUGGAAGGGCCAUCGCUCAACGGAUAAAAGGUACUCCGGGGAUAACAGGCUGAUACCGCCCAAGAGUUCAUAUCGACGGCGGUGUUUGGCACCUCGAUGUCGGCUCAUCACAUCCUGGAGCUGAAGUAGGUCCCAAGGGUAUGGCUGUUCGCCAUUUAAAGUGGUACGCGAGCUGGGUUUAGAACGUCGUGAGACAGUUCGGUCCCUAUCUGCCGUGGGCGCUGGAGAACUGAGGGGGGCUGCUCCUAGUACGAGAGGACCGGAGUGGACGCAUCACUGGUGUUCGGGUUGUCAUGCCAAUGGCACUGCCCGGUAGCUAAAUGCGGAAGAGAUAAGUGCUGAAAGCAUCUAAGCACGAAACUUGCCCCGAGAUGAGUUCUCCCUGACUCCUUGAGAGUCCUGAAGGAACGUUGAAGACGACGACGUUGAUAAGCCGGGUGUGUAAGCGCAGCGAUGCGUUGAGCUAACCGGUACUAAUGAACCGUGAGGCUUAACCU